CGAGGAUGCACCGUCGAAGGCGGCGGAAUAUGAACUGCUGUUGCUGCUGCUGUGUAGCUUUUUCUGUCGCUGCUAUAUUUGUUUUUCUCUUUCUGUUGAUGCUGAAAUACCGCGCGUGCUCUGUUCACGUGCUUGGUGUUUGUCACCAGAGAAACUUCGACUUUCUCGUACCCUUUUCUCUAAGGAACCACAUAUGAUUUCUUCAGUGAUCUGCCAAUUCGAGAACUACACCGGUAUUUUCUCCUGUCCAACCGUUACAUUUUCUGUAUUAUAAUUUUAAUCGUCUAUUGACUACUUUUGUCGAAAACCAUCAUGUACUGUUAAUCAUUUUGUUGGUAGAAAUUGGGGAAAUAAAGUGAUGUUUCUGGAGUGGAUCGAUUUACCUGCUGAAAGUUCAAUAUUUUAUCAUACAUUCUUUUGCUUGCGUUCUUAUAUAUUCCAUGUUCGAAUUUAACUUCAUUUUGCAUGUGGAGUUUUGAGUUGAAUAUUUUCAAAUCCAUUAUAUUUUAAAUUCCAAAGAAAUAUUUUCAAAGAAAAGGGUCACGAAGCCAGUUGCAUGACUUGAAUUUUAAAAUUUUGUUUUUUCGGUAGGUUGGAAAUGCCUGAACUAGGGUUUGAAGUGACCAGCAAUUUGCCUUUAGACUAUUCUUUCUUUGUUUUAUCCCCGUGUUUUAUUUUGUCGACAAAAAAAUAUUUGGACUCCACCUGGCCUGUAGUCCAUUCUCAAGCAAAAUCUAGAUAAAUGAAUUUCAUGUUUCCCGUCACCUUCAUUUAGGUUUCAGGAAAUAUCUUUCACCUCUUCCAAUAACUAAUGCUACAUUCUUAUUUUCUAUUAUAUCAAAAACAUACCCUUCCUUGUGGAUAUACUCUUUAAUUAGUAAACGAAGUGGUGAUAAUACAAAUAUGCGAAAUUAGUAAACGUAAAUAUAAUCACUUGCAAAAAUAAUAGUAAAUGUGCUAAAAAUCUAAUCCAUCUUAGGAGGUGUUUAAUGUUUGUCUUUAAACAGAAAACUAAUUUCAAUUCAACAUUUAAAUGCUGAAUCUUGUUUAGCUGAUUCACUUCUCCCUUUUCGGUAAAAUUUCAAAUGAGUUCUAAAUGAUGAAUGGAGCCAUUUCAAAUUUAUAAAAAAAUUUCCUGAUGUGGACUAAUUAAUGCAGUUUCCAUCUAUUCCCGAUGACAGAUGUGUAUUUCUACCGCUAUAUAUCUAUCCU
rnacentral:lncRNA from 1 species